GACGAAGGGGGCUAGCGUUGUUCGGAAUUACUGGGCGUAAAGCGCGUGUAGGCGGUUGCCCCAGUCGGGUGUGAAAGCCUUGAGCUCAACUCAAGAAAUGCACUCGGUACUGGGUGACUAGAGGACCGGAGAGGAUAGUGGAAUUCCCAGUGUAGUGGUGAAAUACGUAGAGAUUGGGAAGAACACCAGUGGCGAAGGCGGCUAUCUGGACGGUUUCUGACGCUAAGACGCGAAAGCGUGGGGAGCAAACAGG
rnacentral:rRNA from 1 species